GGCUAGAGUUUGAUCAUGGCUCAGGAUGAACGCUGGCGGCGUGCCUAACACAUGCAAGUCGAACGAAGCACUUUAUUACGAUUUCUUCGGAAUGACGAUUGAGUGACUGAGUGGCGGACGGGUGAGUAACGCGUGGAUAACCUGCCCCAUACAGGGGGAUAACUGUUAGAAAUGACUGCUAAUACCGCAUAAGCGCACAGUAUCGCAUGAUACGGUGUGAAAAACUCCGGUGGUAUGGGAUGGAUCCGCGUCUGAUUAGCCAGUUGGCGGGGUAGAGGCCCACCAAAGCGACGAUCAGUAGCCGACCUGAGAGGGUGACCGGCCACAUUGGGACUGAGACACGGCCCAAACUCCUACGGGAGGCAGCAGUGGGGAAUAUUGCACAAUGGGGGAAACCCUGAUGCAGCGACGCCGCGUGAGCGAAGAAGUAUUUCGGUAUGUAAAGCUCUAUCAGCAGGGAAGAAGAAUGACGGUACCUGACUAAGAAGCUCCGGCUAAAUACGUGCCAGCAGCCGCGGUAAUACGUAUGGAGCAAGCGUUAUCCGGAUUUACUGGGUGUAAAGGGAGCGUAGGCGGUGCUAUAAGUCUGAUGUGAAAGCCCGGGGCUCAACCGCGGGACCGCAUUGGAAACUGUAGGACUGGAGUGUCGGAGGGGUAAGUG
rnacentral:rRNA from 1 species